UACGUAGGGUGCAAGCGUUGUCCGGAAUUAUUGGGCGUAAAGAGCUCGUAGGCGGUCUGUCGCGUCGAAUGUGAAAACCCGGGGCUCAACCCCGGGCCUGCAUUCGAUACGGGCAGACUAGAGUUCGGUAGGAGAGUCUGGAAUUCCUGGUGUAGCGGUGAAAUGCGCAGAUAUCAGGAGGAACACCGGUGGCGAAGGCGGGACUCUGGGCCGAUAUUGACGCUGAGACGCGAAAGCGUGGGCAGCAAACAGG
rnacentral:rRNA from 1 species